rnacentral:rRNA from 1 species
UACGGAGGGGGCUAGCGUUGUUCGGAAUUACUGGGCGUAAAGCGCGCGUAGGCGGACCUGCAAGUCGGGUGUGAAAGCCCGAGGCUCAACCUCGGAACUGCCUUCGAUACUGCGGGUCUCGAGUCCGGGAGAGGUGAGUGGAAUUCCUAGUGUAGAGGUGAAAUUCGUAGAUAUUAGGAAGAACACCAGUGGCGAAGGCGGCUCACUGGCGCGGUACUGACGCUGAGGCGCGAAAGCGUGGGGAGCAAACAGG